AAUUCAAUAGCCGCAAUACGUGCUAAGGUAGCAUAAUCAUUUGCCUUUUAAUUGAAGGCUAGAACAAAAGAUUUAACAUUUUAAUUAAUUUAUUAAAAUUAAAUAUUGAACCUAUCCUAAACGUAAAAAGACAUUUAUAAAAAAGAAAGACGAUAAGACCCUAUUGAACUUAACUUAAGUUAAACUGGGGCAGUAAAUCAAUUAUAACUUUAAUUUACAUAUUUAAUUAAAAAUCUUUAAAAUAAAAUAAAUCAGUUACCAUAGGGAUAACAGCGUUAUUUAUUUUAAUAGACCUUAUAUAAAAAUAAGAUUACGACCUCGAUGUUGAAUUAAUAACCUAUAUAUUGCAAAGAAUAAAAAAGGAGGUCUGUUCGACCUUUAAACAAUUACGUGAUCUGAGUUCAG
rnacentral:rRNA from 1 species